UGUUAUCUUCGCUUUACAACAUGUUCAGAAAGUCAUUUCCAACUCUGCACAUCCUAACUGUAUUUUGUGCAUUGCAUGUGUAAUUAAAUAUACUAGUAAGUACCUGCAUUACUUUGUACUUU
rnacentral:lncRNA from 1 species